UGAGGAAUAUUGGACAAUGGAGGCAACUCUGAUCCAGCCAUGCCGCGUGAAGGACUAAGGCCCUAUGGGCUGUAAACCUCUUUUGUCGGGGAGUAACGUGCGGGACGGGUCCCGUAUUGAGAGUACCCGAAGAAAAAGCAUCGGCUAACUCCGUGCCAGCAGCCGCGGUAAUACGGAGGAUGCGAGCACUAUCCGGAUUUAUUGGGUUUAAAGGGUGCGCAGGCGGCGCGCCAAGUCAGCGGUCAAAGUUCCGGGCUCAACCCGGUGUCGCCGUUGAAACUGGCGUGCUCGAGUGCGUGCGAGGAAGGCGGAAUGCGUUGUGUAGCGGUGAAAUGCAUAGAUAUGACGCAGAACUCCGAUUGCGAAGGCAGCUUUCCAGCGCGCUACUGACGCUGAGGCACGAAAGC
rnacentral:rRNA from 1 species